UAGCCAUUGAACUGCGCAAUCAUUUGG
rnacentral:sRNA from 1 species